UACGAGGGGGGCAAGCGUUGUUCGGAAUUAUUGGGCGUAAAGGGUGCGUAGGCGGUUUGGUAAGUCUUAUGUGAAAUCUACAGGCUCAACUUGUAGUCUGCAUGAGAAACUGCCGGGCUUGAGUAUGGGAGAGGUGAGUGGAAUUCCUGGUGUAGCGGUGAAAUGCGUAGAUAUCAGGAGGAACACCUGUGGCGAAAGCGGCUCACUGGACCAUAACUGACGCUCAUGCACGAAAGCGUGGGGAGCAAACAGG
rnacentral:rRNA from 1 species